CCUACGGGAGGCUGCAGUGGGGAAUAUUGGACAAUGGGGGCAACCCUGAUCCAGCCAUGCCGCGUGUGUGAAGAAGGCCCUCGGGUUGUAAAGCACUUUCAGUGAGGAAGAACGCCUGGUGGUUAAUACCCAUCAGGAAAGACAUCACUCACAGAAGAAGCACCGGCUAACUCCGUGCCAGCAGCCGCGGUAAUACGGAGGGUGCGAGCGUUAAUCGGAAUUACUGGGCGUAAAGCGCGCGUAGGUGGCUUGAUAAGCCGGUUGUGAAAGCCCCGAGCUCAACCUGGGAACGGCAUCCGGAACUGUCAAGCUAGAGUGCAGGAGAGGAAGGUAGAAUUCCCGGUGUAGCGGUAAAAUGCGUAGAGAUCGGGAGGAAUACCAGUGGCGAAGGCGGCCUUCUGGACUGACACUGACACUGAGGUGCGAAAGCGUGGGUAGCAAACAGGAUUAGAUACCCUAGUAGUC
rnacentral:rRNA from 1 species